UUUCCGUAGGUGAACCUGCGGAAGGAUCAUUAUUGAAUGAAACACUUCUGGCUUUCUUCUGUUGUGCUGGCCCUUUGGGCAAUGUGCACACGGCUCUGGUCACUUGUUUCUUCUGUUCCACCUGUGCACUGCCUGUAGACACGCUGUGUCUAUGAUAUUUGUUAACACACAACAAUGUUAGUUGGCAUGUUAUAUAUAAUAAUAAAAUAUACAACUUUCAACAACGGAUCUCUUGGCUCUC
rnacentral:misc_RNA from 1 species